rnacentral:rRNA from 1 species
CAGUCGCCGCGGUAAUACAGAGGAUGCAAGCGUUAUCCGGAAUGAUUGGGCGUAAAGCGUCUGUAGGUGGCUUUUCAAGUCCGCCGUCAAAUCCCAGGGCUCAACCCUGGACAGGCGGUGGAAACUACCAAGCUGGAGUACGGUAGGAGCAGAGGGAAUUUCCGGUGGAGCGGUGAAAUGCGUAGAGAUUAGGAGGAACACCAGCGGCGAAGGCGGCUUUUUGGCCUGUAACUGACACUGAGGCGCGAAAGCGUGGGGAGCAAACAGGACUAGAGACCCGCGUAGUCCCUGUCUCUUAUAA